rnacentral:rRNA from 1 species
GAUGAACGCUGGCGGCGUGCCUAAUACAUGCAAGUCGAGCGAACGGACGAGAAGCUUGCUUUUCUGAUGUUAGCGGCGGACGGGUGAGUAACACGUGGAUAACCUACCUAUAAGACUGGGAUAACUUCGGGAAACCGGAGCUAAUACCGGAUAAUAUUUUGAACCGCAUGGUUCAAAAGUGAAAGACGGUCUUGCUGUCACUUAUAGAUGGAUCCGCGCUGCAUUAGCUAGUUGGUAAGGUAACGGCUUACCAAGGCAACGAUGCAUAGCCGACCUGAGAGGGUGAUAGGCCACACUGGAACUGAGACAGGGUCAAGACUACUACGGGAGGCAGCAGUAGGGAAUCUUCCGCAAUGGGCGAAAGCCUGACGGAGCAACGCCGCGUGAGUGAUGAAGGUCUUCGGAUCGUAAAACUCUGUUAUUAGGGAAGAACAUAUGUGUAAGUAAAUGUGCACAUCUUGACGGUACCUAAUCAGAAAGCAACGGCUAACUACGUG